rfam:Aspergillus ustus strain 3.3904 ATSC_27, whole genome shotgun sequence.
AGCAGAUUGAUGUAAUAGUAACAUAUAUGACUCAUGAUCAUAUCAUUUAGGUGCAAAUCCUAAGUCUGCUU